rnacentral:rRNA from 1 species
GUUCAGGAAUAUUUGUCAAUCGAUGGGAGUAUGCUCCACGCAGCAACGCCGCAGGGAUGAUGAAGUUCUUCGGAUAGUAAAAUCCUUUUGCAGAGGAAGAAACUGCCGGUUUACCGGCAUGGACGGUACUUUGCGAAUAAGCCACGGCUAACUCUGUGCCAGCAGCCGCGGUGAUACAGGGGUGGCAAGCGUUGUCCGGAUUACUGGGUUUAAAGGGGUGGUCAGGCGGAUUAUAAGUCAGGGGGUUAAAUCCAUGGGUUAACCGCAUGCAUGGCUUCCGAUCUGUUGAGUCUAGAGUCUCGAAGAGGAAGAUGGAAUUUCGGUGUAACGGUGGAAUGUGUAGAUAUUACGAAAGAACACCAGUGCGAAGGCAGCUCUUCUGGUCGAGAACGACCGCUCAGCCCGAAAGCGUGGGGAGCAAACAGGAUUAGAUACCCUGGU